CCAGACUCCUACGGGAGGCAGCAGUGGGGAAUAUUGGACAAUGGACCAAAAGUCUGAUCCAGCAAUUCUGUGUGCACGAUGACGUUUUUCGGAAUGUAAAGUGCUUUCAGUUGGGAAGAAAAAAAUGACGGUACCAACAGAAGAAGUGACGGCUAAAUACGUGCCAGCAGCCGCGGUAAUACGUAUGUCACAAGCGUUAUCCGGAUUUAUUGGGCGUAAAGCGCGUCUAGGUGGUUAUGUAAGUCUGAUGUGAAAAUGCAGGGCUCAACUCUGUAUUGCGUUGGAAACUGUGUAACUAGAGUACUGGAGAGGUAAGCGGAACUACAAGUGUAGAGGUGAAAUUCGUAGAUAUUUGUAGGAAUGCCGAUGGGGAAGCCAGCUUACUGGACAGAUACUGACGCUAAAGCGCGAAAGCGUGGGUAGCAAACAGGAUUAGAUACCCUGGUAGUCCACGCCGUAAACGAUGAUUACUAGGUGUUGGGGGUCGAACCUCAGCGCCCAAGCAAACGCGAUAAGUAAUCCGCCUGGGGAGUACGUACGCAAGUAUGAAACUCAAAGGAAUUGACGGGGGCCCGCACAAGAG
rnacentral:rRNA from 1 species